rnacentral:misc_RNA from 1 species
UAAUAAGUGUUUUAUGGCACUUUUUAAAUCCAUAUCCACCUUGUGUGCAAUGUCAGUCGAUCUUCUUCAUGGAGAUCGACCAAACAUCAACCUUAUUUUUUAACUCUUUGUCUGAAAAAUAUUAUGAAUAAACAAUUCAAAAUA